UAGUUGGAUAACUGAGGUAAUUCUUGAGCUAAUACACGCUAUUUAUACCACAUUAGUGGUGCGUUUAUUUGAUUAAACCAUUUUUAUAUUGGUUGACUCAAAAUAUCCUCGCUGAUUUUGUUACUAAAACAUACCGUAUGUGUAUCUGGUUUAUCAACUUUCGAUGGUAGGGUAUUGGCCUACCAUGGUUGUGACGGAUAACGGAGAAUUAGGGUUCGACUCCGGAGAGGGAGCCUGAGAAACGGCUACCACAUCCAAGGAAGGCAGCAGGCGCGAAAAUUACCCAAUUUUAGUUAAAAGAGGUAGUGACGAAAAAUGACAACCAAAUAUUAUUAUUAAUAUUUGGAUUGAAAAUCUUCAAGUAUAAAU
rnacentral:rRNA from 1 species